CUGCACCCCUCAAAGAAAGAUCAGAACACCAUUAUUUUUUCCAGUUCUUUUACAAGUUGGUUUUGUAAAUAAAAUUAAUUUAUUCUACAGCACAUUAAAACUUUUUUUCACAUUUUAAAAAAUCGUAUUUACAAAUUAACAUUUCAUUUUGUAAUUGCGGCUCCUUCAGUCCUCAUUUUCUUCCUUCGUUCUGAUUGGCACAGAAGAAAUCAAUAUGGACAAGGGUGCAAUUCCAGCCAUGGUUCUCCAUGGAGAAGGGCCCAGCAGUGGACUAUAGCUCUUCCGGACAUCGAUAAUCCAUUUCUUGAGGGGUGGUGGUGGAGCAGGUAUGAGGUUAUCUACAAAGGUUCCCUCCUUGCUUUUGUAUUACACUGUACCAAGUGUCCCUGUUGCAAAAAAAAUUCCCAGUAUGUUACAUCCCCGCACAAUAAGGCUGCAAUGCCUUCAUUUAUAGACAUAAAGACAGGUCCUGGAUUUGAAAGUCAAGAGGAAUUUAUCUCAUAGGAUGGCGGUUUGUGUCCAUGACUUGCUGCUCUAAAAGGUGCUACUGAUCAAAUGCCAUAAUUCAGAACUUUCUUUAAAUGAAGAGGUGCAAUCAGCAGCUGCCCAUGACAACUGUUCCUGGUGAAGAAUGGAAAGGCACCACUUCCGUCAAGAGUUUCCCAGAAAUCUUAAAGAAAACUAUGGAAACAGGUAGGUGGUAAGGCUACCAACUGAGAACCGGUCCCAAGAAAACAAACAGGCAAGGUGGUUUUGCAUUCUGCAUUCAAAGCUCUCAUAGUUGUGGCCUAAGAAACACUGAUGGGACAAGUAGUUGUUCUUCAACGUGGGACAAAUGUAAGAUCACCUACAAAUUAGGAACAACUUUGGCCAAUUUAACACAAAUUACUCAUUUGGAAACUCCCUUUAGUGCAACAUCUUUACUGAACGUGCUCAUGUAAUAUUGAUAGGAAUUAUUUAGGUUUAUAGUUAAACUAAUAUUAAUAUUUGAAGUCCAUCUUCUAAUUUGACCCUAUUAUAACUAUGUCUUUUCCUUCCUUCCUUAUAACAGGAACUUUUUUUUUUAGUCAACGGAAUGAAUACCUCACAUCUGGAAUUACUGCUUUCAUACACAAUUAUCAGUUGGGCAUGUUUUGAAACCACAGUACUGCUGUUACCUUGCCAAGCUGAUCUGAUAGGUGAGUGACAAUGUGGCAGGCUAAUAAGAGCAAACCCUUCUUUAAGAGUGGCUGCUAAGUGACACAUCUCUCCAAUCUCCCUGGUUUAGACUGCAAUCCCAAUCAGACUCAGUGGAAGCAAGGGUCAAGUGAACAUAGCAAGGCUUCUUUUCAAGUAAACAUAAACAGGAUUGCACUAGAGUUGUGUUGCAAACCCAACACAGUAGUUUCUUCAGUUUCAGUAUUUACACACAGGUGCUGGAACAGUGCAGGGACCACCCCCCUCCCUUAUCUCCAACAUCCCACUUGAUUUUGAUUCUGGGUUGAUGUGUAGCUUAGCUAGUAGUUUGGGGGGGGGAAGAGCAAGGGAGGGGAGAGAUGACAGAGGUGUAUAAAAUUAUAUAUGGCAUGGAGAAAGUGGAUAAAGGAAGGUUUUUGUCCCUCUUGCCUACCCACCAGGGCCAUCCAUGAAACUGAAGGGUGGCAGAUUGAGGACAGAGAAAAGGAAGUACCGUAUUUCUUUGCUCUAUAAGACGUACCAGACCACAAGACACACCUAGUUUUUGGAGGAG